rnacentral:rRNA from 1 species
GGGUUGUGAGGUUAAGCGACUAAGCGUACACGGUGGAUGCCCUGGCAGUCAGAGGCGAUGAAGGACGUGCUAAUCUGCGAUAAGCGUCGGUAAGGUGAUAUGAACCGUUAUAACCGGCGAUUUCCGAAUGGGGAAACCCAGUGUGAUUCGUCACACUAUCAUUAACUGAAUCCAUAGGUUAAUGAGGCGAACCGGGGGAACUGAAACAUCUAAGUACCCCGAGGAAAAGAAAUCAACCGAGAUUCCCCCAGUAGCGGCGAGCGAACGGGGAGCAGCCCAGAGCCUGAAUCAGUGUGUGUGUUAGUGGAAGCGUCUGGAAAGGCGCGCGAUACAGGGUGACAGCCCCGUACACAAAAAUGCACAUGCUGUGAGCUCGAUGAGUAGGGCGGGACACGUGGUAUCCUGUCUGAAUAUGGGGGGACCAUCCUCCAAGGCUAAAUACUCCUGACUGACCGAUAGUGAACCAGUACCGUGAGGGAAAGGCGAAAAGAACCCCGGCGAGGGGAGUGAAAAAGAACCUGAAACCGUGUACGUACAAGCAGUGGGAGCACGCUUAGGCGUGUGACUGCGUACCUUUUGUAUAAUGGGUCAGCGACUUAUAUUCUGUAGCAAGGUUAACCGAAUAGGGGAGCCGAAGGGAAACCGAGUCUUAACUGGGCGUUUAGUUGCAGGGUAUAGACCCGAAACCCGGUGAUCUAGCCAUGGGCAGGUUGAAGGUUGGGUAACACUAACUGGAGGACCGAACCGACUAAUGUUGAAAAAUUAGCGGAUGACUUGUGGCUGGGGGUGAAAGGCCAAUCAAACCGGGAGAUAGCUGGUUCUCCCCGAAAGCUAUUUAGGUAGCGCCUCGUGAAUUCAUCUCCGGGGGUAGAGCACUGUUUCGGCAAGGGGGUCAUCCCGACUUACCAACCCGAUGCAAACUGCGAAUACCGGAGAAUGUUAUCACGGGAGACACACGGCGGGUGCUAACGUCCGUCGUGAAGAGGGAAACAACCCAGACCGCCAGCUAAGGUCCCAAAGUCAUGGUUAAGUGGGAAACGAUGUGGGAAGGCCCAGACAGCCAGGAUGUUGGCUUAGAAGCAGCCAUCAUUUAAAGAAAGCGUAAUAGCUCACUGGUCGAGUCGGCCUGCGCGGAAGAUGUAACGGGGCUAAACCAUGCACCGAAGCUGCGGCAGCGACGCUGAUGCGUUGUUGGGUAGGGGAGCGUUCUGUAAGCCUGCGAAGGUGUGCUGUGAGGCAUGCUGGAGGUAUCAGAAGUGCGAAUGCUGACAUAAGUAACGAUAAAGCGGGUGAAAAGCCCGCUCGCCGGAAGACCAAGGGUUCCUGUCCAACGUUAAUCGGGGCAGGGUGAGUCGACCCCUAAGGCGAGGCCGAAAGGCGUAGUCGAUGGGAAACAGGUUAAUAUUCCUGUACUUGGUGUUACUGCGAAGGGGGGACGGAGAAGGCUAUGUUGGCCGGGCGACGGUUGUCCCGGUUUAAGCGUGUAGGCUGGUUUUCCAGGCAAAUCCGGAAAAUCAAGGCUGAGGCGUGAUGACGAGGCACUACGGUGCUGAAGCAACAAAUGCCCUGCUUCCAGGAAAAGCCUCUAAGCAUCAGGUAACAUCAAAUCGUACCCCAAACCGACACAGGUGGUCAGGUAGAGAAUACCAAGGCGCUUGAGAGAACUCGGGUGAAGGAACUAGGCAAAAUGGUGCCGUAACUUCGGGAGAAGGCACGCUGAUAUGUAGGUGAAG